UGGGGCCGUUUGCCAGCAGCCCCCUGUCCCCCCCAGCUGCUGAAGAAGAUGAGCUCCAGCGACACCCCCCUGGGCACCGUGGCCCUGCUGCAGGAGAAGCAGCGGGCACAGAAGACGCCGUACAUCGUGCUGAGCGGCAGCGGCAAGAGCAUGAACGCGAACACCAUCACCAAGUGACCCGGAGCCCCCCCACCCCCGGGACCCCCCGGACCCCGCGCGGCCCCCCCGCGGCCCCCCCCCCGCUGCGGCCCCACGGGGCCAAUAAAGGGCUGGGGACG